GGGCACGACACCGGAGAGGGAGCCUGAGAAACGGCUACCACAUCCAAGGGUGGCAGCAGGCGCGCAAAUUACCCAAUCCCGACACGGGGAGGUAGUGACAAUAAAUAACAAUACGGGGUUCUUUAGGAUCUCGUAAUUGGAAUGAGUACAAUUUAAAUCUCUUAACGAGGAACAAUUGGAGGGCAAGUCUGGUGCCAGCAGUCGCGGUAAUUCCAGCUCCAAUAGCGUAUAUUAAAGUCGUUGCAGUUAAAAAGCUCGUAGUUGAAUUUCGGGGUUAGUAGGUUGGUCAUGCCUCUGGUAUGUACUGGUCUCACUGAUUCCUCCUUCCUUAUGAACCGUAAUGCCAUUAAUUUGGUGUUGCGGGGAAUUUGGACUGUUACUUUGAAAAAAUUAGAGUGUUUAAAGCAAGCUAACGCUUGAAUACAUUAGCAUGGAAUAAUGAAAUAGGACGUUCGAUCUUAUUUUGUUGGUUUCUAGGAUUGACGUAAUGAUUAAUAGGGAUAGUUGGGGGCAUUAGUAUUCAAUUGUCAGAGGUGAAAUUCUUGGAUUUAUUGAAGACUAACUACUGCGAAAGCAUUUGCCAAGGAUGUUUUCAUUAAUCAAGAACGAAAGUUAGGGGAUCGAAGACGAUCAGAUACCGUCGUAGUCUUAACCAUAAACUAUGCCGACUAGGGAUCGGAUGAUGUUAAUUUUUUAAUGACUCAUUCGGCGCCUUACGGG
rnacentral:rRNA from 1 species